AGGACACGCUGGCGGCGUGCUUAACACAUGCAAGUCGAACGAUGCACCGGAGCUUGCUCCGGGGAUUAGUGGCGAACGGGUGAGUAACACGUGGGCAACCUGCCCCAGACACCGGGAUAACCUUCCGAAAGGAUGGCUAAUACCGGAUACGACCACUUCGGGCAUCCGACGGUGGUGGAAAGGAUUCUGGUCUGGGAUGGGCCCGCGGCCUAUCAGCUUGUUGGUGGGGUAAUGGCCUACCAAGGCGACGACGGGUAGCCGGCCUGAGAGGGCGACCGGCCACACUGGGACUGAGACACGGCCCAGACUCCUACGGGAGGCAGCAGUGGGGAAUAUUGCGCAAUGGGCGAAAGCCUGACGCAGCGACGCCGCGUGAGGGACGAAGGUCUUCGGAUUGUAAACCUCUUUCAGCAGGGACGAAGCGAAAGUGACUGUACCUGCAGAAGAAGCACCGGCUAACUACGUG
rnacentral:rRNA from 1 species